rnacentral:rRNA from 1 species
CAGUCGCCGCGGUAAUACGAAGGGGGCUAGCGUUGUUCGGAAUCACUGGGCGUAAAGCGCACGUAGGCGGAUACUUAAGUCAGGGGUGAAAUCCCGGGGCUCAACCUCGGAACUGCCUUUGAUACUGGGUAUCUUGAGUCCGGGAGAGGUUGGUGGAACUCCGAGUGUAGAGGUGAAAUUCGUAGAUAUUCGGAAGAACACCAGUGGCGAAGGCGGCCAACUGGCCCGGUACUGACGCCGAGGUGCGAAAGCGUGGGGAGCAAACAGGAUUAGAUACCCCGGUAGUCCCUGUCUCUUAUAC